rnacentral:rRNA from 1 species
CUAGUAAUCGCAGAUCAGCAUGCUGCGGUGAAUACGUUCCCGGGCCUUGUACACACCGCCCGUCACAUCAUGGGAGUCGGUAACACCCGAAGCCUGUAGUCUGACCUUUUGGAGGACGCAGUCGAAGGUGGGAUCGAUGACUGGGGUGAAGUCGUAACAAGGUAAC